UACGUAGGGGUGCAAGCGUUGUCCGGAAUUAUUGGGCGUAAAGAGCUCGUAGGCGGUUUGUUGCGUCGGCUGUGGAAAUCCCGAGGCUCAACCUCGGGUCUGCAGUCGAUACGAGCAAACUAGAGUGUUGCAGGGGAGACUGGAAUUCCUGGUGUAGCGGUGAAAUGCGCAGAUAGUCAGGAGGAACACCGGUGGCGAAGGCGGGUCUCUGGG
rnacentral:rRNA from 1 species